rnacentral:rRNA from 1 species
CGGGCGGCGUGCCUAAUACAUGCAAGUCGAACGAACGGAUUGAGGAGCUUGCUCUUCNNGAAGUUAGUGGCGGACGGGUGAGUAACACGUGGGUAACCUGCCCUUCAGCGGGGGAUAACAUCCGGAAACGGGUGCUAAUACCGCAUAGUUUCUUUUUCCGCCUGGAAGAAGAAGGAAAGAUGGCCUUUGUGCUAUCACUGAGGGAUGGACCCGCGGCGUAUUAGUUAGUUGGUGGGGUAAUGGCCUACCAAGACGAUGAUACGUAGCCGACCUGAGAGGGUGAUCGGCCACAUUGGGACUGAGACACGGCCCAAACUCCUACGGGAGGCAGCAGUAGGGAAUCUUCCGCAAUGGACGAAAGUCUGACGGAGCACGCCGCGUGAGUGAAGAAGGUUUCGGAUCGUAAACUCUGUUGUCGGAGAAGACAGUAGGAGAGUACUGUUCCUACUUGACGUACCGACAGAAGCACGGCUACUACGUGCAGCAGCGCGUAUACGUAGUGCAGCGUGUCGAUUAUUGGCGUAGCG